rnacentral:rRNA from 1 species
GAGUUUGAUCUUGGCUCAGAGCGAACGCUGGCGGCAGGCUUAACACAUGCAAGUCGAACGGGCGUAGCAAUACGUCAGUGGCAGACGGGUGAGUAACGCGUGGGAACGUACCUUUUGGUUCGGAACAACUGAGGGAAACUUCAGCUAAUACCGGAUAAGCCCUUACGGGGAAAGAUUUAUCGCCGAAAGAUCGGCCCGCGUCUGAUUAGCUAGUUGGUGAGGUAACGGCUCACCAAGGCGACGAUCAGUAGCUGGUCUGAGAGGAUGAUCAGCCACAUUGGGACUGAGACACGGCCCAAACUCCUACGGGAGGCAGCAGUGGGGAAUAUUGGACAAUGGGGGAAACCCUGAUCCAGCCAUGCCGCGUGAGUGAUGAAGGCCCUAGGGUUGUAAAGCUCUUUUGUGCGGGAAGAUGAUGACGGUACCGCAAGAAUAAGCCCCGGCUAACUUCGUGCCAGCCGCCGCCGU